CACUUGUCUUUUAAAUAAAGACCUGUAUGAAGGCAUAACGAGGGCUGUGCUGUCUCCUUUCUCCCGUCAAUGAAAUUGAUCUACCCGUGCAGAAGCGGGUAUUAAUACAUAAGACGAGAAGACCCUAUGGAGCUUUAGACACCAAAGAAGCCCGCGUUAAGACCCCUAAGAAAAAAGAAUAAACAAGGCGGACCCUACUUAUUUGUCUUUGGUUGGGGCGACCGCGGAGAACAACAAAACCCCCGCGUGGAACGGGACUACCCCUGAAGUAAGGCCCACAGGCCUAAGACCCAGAAAAUCUGACCAAAAGAUCCGGCUAUGCCGAUCAACGGACCCAGUUACCCUAGGGAUAACAGCGCAAUCCCCUUUUAGAGCCCACAUCGACAAGGGGGUUUACGACCUCGAUGUUGGAUCAGGACCUCCUAAUGGUGCAGCCGCUAUUAAGGGUUCGUUUGUUCAACGAUUAAAGUCC
rnacentral:rRNA from 1 species